AUUGCUUCUUGGCCUCUUGGGUAAGAUCAUGUGUAAUAUCUGUUCUUAGCAGUUUAAAAAUGUAUGAAAACAGAACUCAGUUAGCGUUUUAAUUAAAGGCUACAUGUUAUCACUUAACCUAUCUAGCAGGUUGUAGGGGAGAAUCUUUGCAUGCAUAUUUAAGCAUUCUAUCUAUUUUAGAUGUGUUUCUUGCCUCCAAUUACAGGAAAAAUAA
rnacentral:snRNA from 1 species